CAAUAAACCAUAUUUUUGGCUGAAAGAAGGCUUGGGUCAAAUCCUUUUGGGCAGGACUUGAAUGUUGUGAUUUUGGGAUUCCAGGACCCCUACCUCUAGACCUCAUCAGGUGCUGGGAAGACAAAUACAAAAAUGAGAUAUUCCUUGCCAUCAAGGGACUUAUAUCCUAAUAGAAAAAGAAGGAAGAAGGAAGUGGACAUGUGCCUGAACAUGGCUACAGGAUAGAUGCAGGUCAUUCUAAAACAGGAGCAUCUGAAGGACCUCACAAUUCACAGCAAAGCCUUCAUUAAACUGGAUUCUGCUGGAUCUUCUUCAACACUGUAGAAUAUUUUCCAGUGGUUCAACUACGACAGGCAUGACUUUCUGAGGCUUACAUUCCCAUGACUGCUGACUUCAAGAAAUGCAGAACCCUUCAACUCAGGUCAAAAAUGCUUUGGCUAAAUCUUGGUUUGGCCUUUGAAGGGCCUCAGUUUAGUAUUAAGAAUUCAAAAAGAAUGUGAGGAAUAUGGUGGAGAUAAAGUAGAAACACCAGAAAGCUAAAAUCCAUAAUGAAUUGCAGUCUAAGAUGUGAAAACCAGGUGAAAAGGCCUGAAGAAGGGCACAGACACUCAAUCUUAAGGAGGUUAUUGUAGUAGUAUAGAGAAGAGUUCAAUUUCCUGUCAAUUAAAGGUAGAAUAUCCAAAAGAAAUAAAUGUUGAUUUGGGAAAUGAACAUCUAUCUAUUUAAGAAGAUGGAAUCUGAGAAUAGGAUUUGGAUUUUUGACCAAUAACUUUCAAUAUUGAAAUGAUAGCACAGAGGACACUAAAUGAGAAACAGUAAAAAUGCAUUUGCCUAAAGAUUUGUGAAUCCAAUCAAGAUGGUUUUAAACCACUGUUUUUAAUCUAGAGUGUGUG